ensembl:lncRNA
CUGAAUUAUUAUUGGUGAAAUAUUUUCAGCUCUUUUCAUUGUUAGAGAGUUGUUAUUCAAACUCUAGUGAAUACCAAUAGUACUUAGAAAGCUAGUAAUCAUGAAGAUUCAGGAGCUUCACUUCCAGUAACUGGGUCUUGGGUGGAAGCUGAUAAUCUGCAUUUGUAAGAAGGUCUUGGGUGAUGCUGUUGUGCUGAGGGCCACAGUUUUGAGUAACACUGAGGCAGUUAUCUCUGGCUUUCCUGGCGACUCAGUGGUAAAGAAUCUGCCUGCCAAUUCAGGAGAUGCAGGUUUGAUCCCUGGGUUGGGAAGAUCCCCUGGAGAAGGAAAUGACAACCCACUCUAGUAUUCUUGCACGAGAAAUCCCAUGGACAGAGGAGCCUGGUGGGCUGCAGCCCACGGGGUCACAAAAGAUUUGGAUUUAAACAACUAAACAACAACAUACAAGGCAUUAUAUACUAACCAGUGGUUGAGUGGUUGGGCCCAGAAGUCUGUGUUUUAACAAGCCUAUUUUUGAUACUUGAAGCAUACCAAAAUCUGAAAAGAACUGUUUUAAGCCACUUAUUCUCAACCUUAGCUAAACAUUACUUUGUAAUACCAAUGCCUGGGUUUUAUCUAGCCUCUAGCCAGUUCUAUUGAAAUUGGAUUGAAAAAUAGUCUGAUAUAGGGAUUAAUUGAAGUUGCCCUGACUUUCAAAUGUGCAACAAGGGCUGAGACCCAUUUCUUGACCAUAUCUUCAUUUCUGGAUGGCACAAGACUAGAGUAUCUGCAAUUUGUACUUCUCAGUAUGUUGAUAGGGAAGGAAAAGAGAUGGAUAAGAAUUCUAGCAUCUGAAAGGAAAUAAGCUUUGAUGAUCUUGUGUGAAGUCAAUCUCAGCUUACCUUACAGACUGUAGGGAAUGUGAGUAAUGAAGGGCUUGAUUCAAAAGACCUGGGAAUGAGUUAGUCGGAAGAGGUGGAAAUUUGGGCAAAAGAGCAAAUUCUAUAAAUCUGUAGAAGUGAAACCCAUUUAGUUGCCUCCAAAGGGCCAAAUGUGCUAUUUAAAAAUGCUCCAAUAGAGCAUUCAAUUUCACAGCUGUCUAUAGCUUUGAGGCCAAAUUCUCCUUCCCUAAAGUUAGGAAACAGAAGUAGGAGUGCUACCAAAAGCCACAUGCACUACUGAGAUAUUAAUUAAGCCCCAAAGACUUCAAGGACCCCUGUCCAGUCCUCCUGAAUGCAUUAUUCUUUGCCAGCUCAUGCAUGCAGACCUCUCUUGACCUUCAUCACAUUAGAACCAGAUCUCUAAGUCUGGAUUAUUAACAUAAAGUGAUGUCAAAAUUUCAAAUUCUGGAGGAUAGAAUCCUCUAACACUAACCCAUAUCCUUCUGUUAUUUUCCCAAGAUCUUAAGACUUUCUGUUUUUGUGAAAUGGUUUCUUAUUGAAUUGUUGAACAAAAAAAAAAAAAACCCAAAAAACAAAAAACAAGAUUCUUUCCAUUUGCAAAAUCCAGCUUGAAUUUCAAACAGUCAGUGUGGGUAUUAUGUCAAGUCAGAGUGCUGGAUGAAGAAUCAGAAACAGACUCCUCACAUGUUCUGUUUCAUUUGACUGAGACUGUUCUGAACCUCAAUUUCCUUUACUGUCAAAUGACAAUGACUUCUCAUGUUCUCUUUUAACAUUAAUAGUGUACAUCUUAGUAAAAAAAAAAAAAAGGCUAUCAGGAGAAUUCUAAGUGGUCAUGCAUGUGUGUGUAUGUGUACAUGUUCAGUUGUGACUGACUCUUUGCAACGCCAUAAACUGUAGCCCACCAGGCUCCACUGUCCAUGGAAUUUUCCAGCCAAGAACUGGAGUGGGUUGCCAUUUCCUAUUCCAGAUGUUGAAUGGCAAAUCUGUUGUGUUAGUUUUCAAACUUUCAACUACAACACUAAGUGAAACUUUACCUCUUUGCAAUGACACUGCUUUGGUGCUGACUCCCUGCUUUUCCUUUCCUGCUGUGUAAUGGCUCUUGUUUUUCAUUGAUAUAAUUUAGAUAACUGGAAAGAGUAAGCUGUAUUCUCCAAUUCAUUCCUCUUAGGGUGAUAGAAAAUAAAGGAUUUUUCCUAUGAUCUGCUUCCAAAUCAUUCUCACCAACUGUGAAUUUUCCAUUCGUAGAGAGUUAUCAGUUGAAACUUUUUUCCUCUGUUGGUUUGUACUUUGCCAUCUUUUUGAAAUAAAGUUCCAUUUACUUUGUUGGUUCUAGGAAAGCAAGCUAUUGCAAGAAGCAGAAUGAAGUAGGGGGAAUUAAGUUUCUUUAAUUUGCUAGUAAACUGACAAAUACCCACAAAGACCCUUCUUCAGGUCUCCUGAGUAGACUCAUCUCUGCCAACAGAUACAAAUACAUUCUUCUUGACUUUGCCAACCUUUGUACCCAUGUCAAAGUUGGAACUGUAUUAAAUAAAAGGAUGUCAAGACUUAAAAUCAUUGCAGAGAAUACAUCAAGCAAAUCUUGCAUUAAUGAUGGGCAUUGAUAUCAACCAAAUUAGUAAUAAGUGGUUAUAGAGAAAGAGUUGUCCAUUUUGCCUUAAAAAAAAAAACAACAAUGUGUCAAGGGAAGAAAAGGAAAGCAGGGAAAAGAUCUAGUUCUUGAAUUCAAGAACACUGGGCUUGAGUUUUGAUCACCAGUUAAUUAGCUAUGAGAGCUUGGAACAAUUUCUCAGUUGUUCCUGAUGUGAAAUGGACCAAGACCAGUGCUUCUUGAACAUUAAUGUGCAUUUGAAUUCCAUGAGAAGUUGGUAAAAUGUGGACUCUGGAUUGGGGUUCAAGAUCCUGUAUUUCUAGUGUCACUAAAAUGAUACUGAUGCUGUGAAAUCUGAAAUCACACUCUGAGUAGCAAGUGGACAGAUGAUUCUCCCCAAGUUACAUUCUAGUUCUGGAAGUACAUAAAUAUAUAUAUACAAUCAAUAGAUAUAUGAUAGAUAACUUUUGAAUCAUUUUGAAGAACUCUAUUAAGUGUACUGUGUGUGUGUGUUUAGUGACUAAGUUGUGUCAAACUCUUUGUGACCCCAUGGACUGUAGUGUGCCAGGAUCCUCUGUCCAUGAGAUUUUCCAGGCAAGAAUACUGGAGUAGGUUACCAUUUCCUUCUCCAGGGGAUCUUCCCAACCUAGGGAUCGAACUUGUGUUCCCUGCAUUGGAAAUAUAUCAAUACAAGAAGUAAGAGUUUUUGAAGUAAUGAUCUUCUGCCUUUCCCUAAAAUACUAUUCUCUGCCUAUUCAGUACCUUCUAAUUCCCCUCCAAAACAACCCAGAAGAAACUUGAGUAAGUAUUGGAAACCUCCUGAUUUGCUCUAUCAGUCAGGGAACUAUGCUUUUUAAGUUUUUGCUAAAUCUACAGUCCCUAAACAAUGGAUUACAUUGAUCUCUUAAUUGCCAAACCAGUUAUUUUCUUUUAAACCUCUUGUAUUGUAAUAUGAGUUUCUAAUUUUCAUCCUGAGAUUGAAUCUGUAUUCCACUCAGUGACACAGAAUAUUAACAUAUAUUUACAC